UAUUCCGGGAACGCUGACAAAGAUAUUGUGAUGUUUCUGUUGCACUCUUGGCAUAUUGCACGUUUUCACGUUUCACAUUUUCGGCACCCUGAGUGACAUGGUUGUUGUGAGUAAUGACAUCUGUUGCAGAACCACAUUCAUGUAGUAUUCUGUCGAAUAAAUCUUCUCAACUCAA